rnacentral:rRNA from 1 species
GUGUCAGCAGCCGCGGUAAGACGAACCGUGCGAACGUUGUUCGGAAUCACUGGGCUUAAAGGGCGCGUAGGCGGUCUACCAAGUCGGGGUUGAAAUCUUUCGGCUCAACCGGAAAAGUGGCUUCGAUACUGGUAGGCUGGAGGGAGGUAGGGGCGGAUGGAACUUCCGGUGGAGCGGUGAAAUGUGUUGAUAUCGGAAGGAACGCCGGUGGCGAAAGCGAUCCGCUGGACCUCUUCUGACGCUGAGGCGCGAAAGCCAGGGGAGCAAACGGGAUUAGAUACCCUCGUAGUCC